UCCUCUGUGGUCCAGUGGCUAAGGCUCUGUGCUCCCAAUGCAGGGGCCCAGGUUCGAUCCCUGGUCAGGGAA
rnacentral:tRNA from 1 species